rnacentral:rRNA from 1 species
CAGAGGGGGCAAGCGUUGUUCGGAAUUACUGGGCGUAAAGGGCGCGUAGGCGGCCUUCUAAGUCAUGCGUGAAAUCCCCGGGCUCAACCCGGGAACUGCGUCUGAUACUGGAAGGCUUGAAUCCGGGAGAGGGAUGCGGAAUUCCAGGUGUAGCGGUGAAAUGCGUAGAUAUCUGGAGGAACACCGGUGGCGAAGGCGGCAUCCUGGACCGGCAUUGACGCUGAGGCGCGAAAGCUAGGGGAGCAAACGGGAUUAGAUACCCCGGUAGUCCUAGCCCUAAACGAUGAAUGCUUGGUGUAGCGGGUAUCGAUCCCUGCUGUGCCGAAGCUAACGCAUUAAGCAUUCCGCCUGGGGAGUACGGUCGCAAGGCUG